AUUGAACGCUGGAGGCAGGCCUAACACAUGCAAGUCGAGCGAGCGGCGGACGGGUGAGUAAUGUAUGGGGACUGCCCGAUAGAGGGGGAUAACUACUGGAAACGGUGGCUAAUACCGCAUACUGGCGGAUAACCUAUAUGGGAUUAGCUAGUAGGUAAGGUAAUUGGGUACCUAGGAAACGAUCCCUAGCUGGUCUGAGAGGAUGACCAGCCACACGGGGACUGAGACACGGCCCAGACUCCUACGGAGGCAGCAGUGGGGAAUAUUGCACAAUGGGCGCAAGCCUGAUGCAGCCAUGCCGCGUGUAUGAAGAAGGCCCUCGGGUUGUAAAGUACUUUCAGUCGGGAGGCGUUACCGACAGAAGAAGCACCGGCUAACUCCGUGCCAGCCGCCGCGGUAAUUC
rnacentral:rRNA from 1 species